UACCAGCACCCCCGAGUGGUCGGGACGUUUUAUUGGGCCUAAAGCAUCCGUAGCCGGUUCUACAAGUCUUCCGUUAAAUCCACCUGCUUAACAGAUGGGCUGCGGAAGAUACUAUAGAGCUAGGAGGCGGGAGAGGCAAGCGGUACUCGAUGGGGUAGGGGGUAAAAAUCCGUUGAUCCAUUGAAGACCACCAGUGGCGAAGGCGGCUUGCCAGAACGCGCUCGACGGUGAGGGAUGAAAGCUGGGGGGAGCAAACCGG
rnacentral:rRNA from 1 species